AGAGUUUGAUCAUGGCUCGAGGACGAACGCUGGCGGCGUGCUUAACACAUGCAAGUCGAACGGGGCUGAAUAGCUUGCUAUGAAAGCCUAGUGGCAAACGGGUGAGUAACGCGUGGGCAACCUACCGGAAAGAUGGGGACAACAUCCCGAAAGGGGUGCUAAUACCGAAUGUUGUAUAUAAGGCGCAUGCCUUGUAUAUUAAAGGAUUCAAUCCGCUUUCCGAUGGGCCCGCGUCCGAUUAGCUAGUUGGGGGGGGCAACGGCCCACCAAGGCGACGAUCGGUAGCCGGCCUGAGAGGGUGAACGGCCACAUUGGGACUGAGACACGGCCCAGACUCC
rnacentral:rRNA from 1 species